AGUUGAGCGGAGAUUAUGGAGCUUGCUUUAUAUAACUUAGCAGCGAACGGGUGAGUAACACGUAGAUGAUCUAUCCUAUACUGGGGGAUAGCCCGAUGAAAGUUGGAUUAAUACCGCAUAUAGCUAUAUAGUUGCAUGAUUAUGUAGUGAAAGAUUUAUUGGUAUAGGAGGAGUCUGCGGCACAUUAGCUAGUAGGUGAGGUAAAGGCUUACCUAGGCGACGAUGUGUAGCCGGUCUGAGAGGAUGAACGGCCACAAUGGAACUGAGACACGGUCCAUACUCCUACGGGAGGCAGCAGUGGGGAAUAUUGCACAAUGGGGGAAACCCUGAUGCAGCAACGCCGCGUGAGUGAAGAAGGUUUUCGGAUUGUAAAGCUCUGUUAGCAGGGAAGAGGAAGGACGGUACCUGCAGAGGAAGCCACGGCUAACUACGUGCCAGCAGCCGCGGUAAUACGUAGGUGGCAAGCGUUGUUCGGAAUAACUGGGCGUAAAGGAUGCGUAGGCGGUUAAACAAGUUAUAUGUUAAAUAUAUAGGCUUAACCUGUAGAAAGCAUAUAAAACUGUUUAACUAGAGUGCAGGAGAGGUAAGUGGAAUUCCUAGUGUAGCGGUGAAAUGCGUAGAGAUUAGGAAGAACACCAGUGGCGAAGGCGACUUACUGGACUGUAACUGACGCUGAGGCAUGAGAGCAUGGGGAGCAAACAGGAUUAGAUACCCUGGUAGUCCAUGCUGUAAACGAUGGGUACUAGGUGUGGGUUGUGAAUAACAAUUCGUGCCGUC
rnacentral:rRNA from 1 species